GACGAACGCUGGCGGCGUGCUUAACACAUGCCAGUCGAACGGUGAAGCGCCUUCCUUUUUGGUGGGUGUGGAUGAGUGGCGAACGGGUGAGUAACACGUGAGUAACCUGCCCCCUUCUUCUGGAUAACCGCAUGAAAGUGUGGCUAAUACGGGAUAUUCUGGGUCUGUCGCAUGAUGGGUCUGGGAAAGAUAUUGUUUCGGUGGGGGAUGGGCUCGCGGCCUAUCAGCUUGUUGGUGGGGUGAUGGCCUACCUAGGCGGUGACGGGUAGCCGGCCUGAGAGGGUGGACGGUCACACUGGGACUGAGACACGGCCCAGACUCCUACGGGAGGCAGCAGUGGGGAAUAUUGCACAAUGGGCGCAAGCCUGAUGCAGCGACGCCGCGUGAGGGAUGGAGGCCUUCGGGUUGUGAACCUCUUUCGCCAGUGAAGCAGGCCUGCCUCGUUUGUGGGUGGGUUGACGGUAGCUGGAUAAGAAGCGCCGGCUAACUACGUG
rnacentral:rRNA from 1 species